GCGUGUGACUGCGUACCUUUUGUAUAAUGGGUCAGCGACUUAUAUUCUGUAGCAAGGUUAACCGAAUAGGGGAGCCGAAGGGAAACCGAGUCUUAACUGGGCGUUAAGUUGCAGGGUAUAGACCCGAAACCCGGUGAUCUAGCCAUGGGCAGGUUGAAGGUUGGGUAACACUAACUGGAGGACCGAACCGACUAAUGUUGAAAAAUUAGCGGAUGACUUGUGGCUGGGGGUGAAAGGCCAAUCAAACCGGGAGAUAGCUGGUUCUCCCCGAAAGCUAUUUAGGUAGCGCCUCGUGAAUUCAUCUCCGGGGGUAGAGCACUGUUUCGGCAAGGGGGUCAUCCCGACUUACCAACCCGAUGCAAACUGCGAAUACCGGAGAAUGUUAUCACGGGAGACACACGGCGGGUGCUAACGUCCGUCGUGAAGAGGGAAACAACCCAGACCGCCAGCUAAGGUCCCAAAGUCAUGGUUAAGUGGGAAACGAUGUGGGAAGGCCCAGACAGCCAGGAUGUUGGCUUAGAAGCAGCCAUCAUUUAAAGAAAGCGUAAUAGCUCACUGGUCGAGUCGGCCUGCGCGGAAGAUGUAACGGGGCUAAACCAUGCACC
rnacentral:rRNA from 1 species